UGUGUUCGAUUUACAUGGGUUGCAUUGCCUUUGUUUUUAAUGAUUCGAUUUGAAUGUCACGCGGUUAUGUUUGUGUAAUGUUGUAAAUUUUGAAUAAACUGAGUGGGUGUAAAUACAAAAUGUCUUGUUGUAAAUUUGUAUUCACACCCAUGCAGUAAAUUCAAAAUUUACAACAUUUGACACACCGAAAACAGGCAAACC
rnacentral:misc_RNA from 1 species